GGGAAUGGCCAUAGCUUGGGGGUACAACGUCUGCUUUGCAUGCAGAAGGUCCCAGGUUCAAGCCCUGGCAUCUCCA